ACCUGGCUGGCUUAGCCAGUAGAGCAUGAAACUCUUGAUCUUGGGGUUGUGAGUUUGAGCCUCAUGUUGGGUG
rnacentral:tRNA from 1 species